GUAAAUGAUGGCUCUUAGGGGUCUUUGACUCCAUCCACACCUGUGCACUGUUAACCGUUAGCUCCCUUUUGGAGAUUUUGGGUUAUACUGAGAUUUAUUGGGUGUGGCCUUCGGCUGCUUCCUACCAGAAGGGUAGCACUUAAUACCUACUUUUGUUUUUGUUAUUAGUCUGAAUUUUGAGGCUCUACGAGCAACUUGACA
rnacentral:misc_RNA from 1 species